UCCGGUUUGAAACCGGCUUUUCCCGCAUAGUUCAGCCCAGGUAAGGUUCUUCGCGUUGCAUCGAAUUGAGCCACAUGCUCCGCCGCUUGUGCGGGCCCCCGUCAAUUCCUUUGAGUUUUAGCCUUGCGGCCGUACUCCCCAGGCGGGGCACUUAAUGCGUUAGCGACGGCACGGGAGGAGUCGACACCUCCCACACCUAGUGCCCAUCGUUUACGGCGUGGACUAC
rnacentral:misc_RNA from 1 species